CCGUGAAGUUAACAGGAAAAACCGUGUGAUCGUGCAGAAUGUCGGGUGACCUGCCGAGGACAGGAUGAACCUGCACAACGAUAAUACUGCCAGGAUCAACCAGAAUAUUACCGGAUAUAUGCCACUCACGUGGAUAACUGUGGUAAUUCUAGAGCUAAUACAUGCAACCAAGUCCCGACCAGCGAUGGAAAGGACGCUUUUAUUGGAUCAAAACCAUUCGCCCGGUUCGCCCGGGCGUCUGCUUGAUGACUCUAUAUAACACCACAGAUCGCACGGACACAGUACCGGCGACGUAUCCGUCAAAUGUCUGACUUAUCAGCUGUCGAUGGUAGACUCUGUGUCUACCAUGGUGCUCACGGGUAACGGGAAAUCAGGUUUCUAUUCCGGAGAGGGAGCCUGAGAAACGGCUACCACAUCCAAGGAAGGCAGCAGGCACGCAAAUUACCCACUCCCGGCACGGGGAGGUAGUGACAAAAAAUAACGAUACGUCACUCAUCCGAGGCCCCGUAAUCGGAAUGAGAACACCCUAAAUCCUUUAACGACGAUCUAUUGGAGGGCAAUCUGGUGCCAUCAGCCGCGGUAAUUCCAGCUCCAAUAGCGUAUAUUAAAGGUGUUGCGGAUAAAAAGCUCGUAGUUGCUUCUGCGUGCCACGCUGCCGGUUCUCCGCCUGUCGGGGCAACUGGUAUGCCGUGUACUGCCCUGGCAAUGCCUUACCUUUUUCUUCCCGCCGCUCACUCGCUCACGGAAGCGUCGCAAAACCCCCCGGUUGAUCCGCUGUAUCCCAUUCAGUUCUGGCUUAGAAGCAUGUUCGAGGUCUGCGUCGGCUUUCCAACCUCUAACUUAUUGUUGCGUGAAUCGAUAGGUUCCUACUUGGGCCUGUGAUUUCGGCUCUUAGUGGUGACGGGACGACGAAUUCUGGGAAUUUAACCGUCUGAACUUCGAUGUUCGAAUGCCCCCCGCCUGGGCCAUAUCGAUCAAUAUCCUAGGGUGCCGAAAGACCAUCAGAAUCUGAGGCCAGGGUUCGUGUUUCCCUUGUUCCAUGCCACCCGUUUUUCAGGGCUUCUUUGAGAGCCAGCUUUGGAUUUGCUGCUCCCAAGGUUCAAAAGAAAAACCGCUUACCGUCCUACCUGCGAACCUGCCGUUCAGAAGGAUGCCCCGAUUA
rnacentral:rRNA from 1 species